rnacentral:rRNA from 12 species
GAACGAUUACCUCGGGAACUGAGGCUAAUAGUUCAUACGGGAGUCAUGCUGGAAUGCCGACUCCCGAAACGCUCAGGCGCUGUAAGAUGUGGCUGCGGCCGAUUACGUAAACGGUGGGGUAACGGCCCACCGUGGCGAUAAUCGGUACGGGUUGUGGGAGCAAGAGCCCGGAGACGGAAUCUGAAACAAGAUUCCGGGCCCUACGGGGCGCCACAGGCGCGAAACCUU